AAUAUUUGUUGCUUCGAGUUUUUGUCUGUAACUUUUGAUCUUUCGUCUUAUUCAAAAAAUUAUGGAAUUAUUAUUUAUUUUUUUAUGAUUUGCUUUAUUAUCAAUAGUAUUUUAAGUAUGACUUCUCUGUUUCUAUAUUUGUACUAAUUUUUCAAAUAAGACGAAUGGUCAAACGUUACAAGAAAAAAGUCAAAGCAACUAUAAUU
rnacentral:pre_miRNA from 1 species